GUGGACAGUGGUGGACAUGUCCAGUUGAAGCUAGACUCCACGCCACCAGAACAAACAGCUAAUGGAGACACACUGAAACCACACAAGUACACCAAGGCACCACAGAGAGGGAUAUUAAAGAAGAGUCCCCGUCCCAGCCCCCGGGCUAGUCCCAGGGCCAGUCCUAAAGGAAGUCCUCAGUCUUCACCUCGCUCUAGUCCACCAGGGUCUGCCAAGACAAGCCCAACACCCAGUCCACAGUUAGAAAAGAAAUUCAGCAUUGGGCU